rnacentral:lncRNA from 1 species
GAGACUGUCAGGUGGGUGCCGUCCCUGUUACAAAGCUUAGCAAGCCCAAAGUCUGCAACCUUAGGAAAGAAGUUAGCAUCAAGAAGAAUGUUACCGGGUUUUAUGUCAUAGUGAAUGAUUCUUUCUACACAUUCUUCAUGUAAGUAAGCUAUGCCCUUUGCUGUCCCAACUGCUAUAUGAUGCAGCUUCUCCCACUCGACUUCUUGUGCCUCGCUGAACAAGUACUUGUCCAGGGAUCCAUUUUCCAGGUAUUCGUAGACAAGUGCGCUCAUGAACUGAUCAUAGCAGAAACCAUAGAGCCUGACUAGAUUGAUAUGGUAAGUCCUGCCUAUGGUUCCCACCUCUGCCAUGAACUGUUCUUCAGCUUGUCUGUCUGGACUCCUAUUCAGGACCUUCACUGCAAUCUUGACCCCAUUGGGGAACUGCCCCUUGUAAACCAUUCCAAACCCUCCAGAACCCAGUGUUGUGGUGUAGUUAUCAGUGAAGCUGCAUAGCUGCUGAGCAGUGAACCUGACCGGCUUCUCCCUCGCUAAUUCUUGGAAGAACUUCUCCAUUGUUGGUGUAUCAACCUCCCAAACCUGUAUCGUAUUCACAGGUGGGGGAGCCACUGCCGCUUGCAAUUCUGUCACAAUAGCCUUCUUCGCUUUCCUUGCACAAACGAGAGAGAUAACAGCGAUAAUUCCAAGCACCACCAAGCUCAAUAUUACGGCUGCAAGUCAUGGGAGUUUGAACCAGUAAGAUCCCAACUUCAAACUGUUGUCUGUCAAUAUCGAAUUCCUUCGUAUUAUUGUCGCAGAAAGAACUUACCUCCUGCUGUAAUCCCAGAGUUGUUGCUUGGAGGAGAGUAGUCAUAUGAAGACAUCUACAAAGGUAGCAAAAUGGACCAAGUUAGAUAGGACUAUACAAUUCUCUAUUCAGUCAAGUAUAGAUAUAGAUUUUGUUUACAAAUCUCGCUGGCACCUUGGCUAGGUGAGCAAUUAAUUAACCAAAAAUUUCUUCAUUAGUUCAAGGUUUUGUGCAGUGCAGGCGUAUCAUACAUGACCCUUUAACAUACUAAGAACAAUCAAGUUAGUGAACUCACCCUCUUCGGAAGAUCACUCCUUGCUUUUCACCACCAGAAAUUGCAGCACAGCUUCUCUUUGCUCUUUGCUUCCUCCCAUUGCCUUUGUAUAUAUAUAUAUAUAUAUACAUGUAUUUGAGGGAGGAAGUUUUGGGGAAAUUUCUGUCAUAGGCCUUCAACUUGGUAGUCAACAAGGGGAAGGGAAAGAUCUACGGAACCUCUCUCUUUCACUAUCAAAUUCAAAGUGAAGAAGGAAAGAAAUUUCUCAAAAAAUUAUUUUAAUGGUAUGGAUUAUUAUGCCUAUGAGGGGAAGUUUCGGAAAAAUUCCUGCCAUUGACCUUCACGGUUGCAUUCAAAGAAUCAAAAAAUAAGAUAGAUAAAGGCAAGGAGAGAGCUACACCACCUUCGGCAAUGACAUGGAUUGGUAUCACGAAAUUUUUUAGAAAAGUCACUGACAGGCUUAAUUGCAAGGAGAUAUGGGAACUAAAUACAAGAGAAAUAUAAAUUUGUAAAAAAAAUUAUUAAUAUUUUUAAAUAUAAAAAUAUCUUCAUAUAUUAUCAUUUCUUUUAUAUCUUAAAUACAAAAUAAAUUACAUUUUAGUAUGUUUUCAAAAUUUUCAUAUUAUUACUAAGUACAGAAAUUUAUAUUAUACAUGCAUUAUUUUAUUUAAAUUCAAUAAAUAUAUUAUUACUUAUUUUAUUAUUUGCAAAGUUUUUUUAACAUUUAUAUGAGUUUUGAUUAAUUUUCAUAUAUUUUUUGUAACAAUAUUUCCCAUAUAUCCGAAAUAUCUAUAAAAUUUGACUAUUAAUAUAUAUGAGAAAACCAAUUUUUCAUUCUUAUUAUUAGAACGCAUAUGUAUUUUCUAAUUUUAUCUUUUAUUAUUAUUUUAAAUUUUAAAUUAUUAACUCUUUACUUUUAAUUUUUAAUUCUUAAUCUUUAAUUUUUAACGUUUAAAAUUUUAAAUUUCUAUUUUAUCUCAUUUGGGUAUAGUUCCUAUUUUUUAUUUUUAAAAUCAAAGCAAUAAUAACCUAUAUAUAAAAAAAAGUAAAAACUCUUUUACAAAAAAUAUAUAUUUAUGUUAUAUCUUCAAGAAUUUCUUUUAAAAAUAAAAAUAAAAAUUUCAGAUAGUAAACAUUACUUGUUAACGUAAGCUUCUAAAAGUUAUAAUAUAAAAAUUAUUACUAUUUUCUAUUUUUAAAAAUUGAAACAUGAAGCAUUCAAACAUAUACUAAAUUUUUAAUUUUUUAAAUAUUUAAUAAUAAUAAUAAUAAUAAUAAUAAUAUUUAGUAAUAAAUACAUAUAGGUCUAUUGAUAUUUAAUAGGCCGGCCACUAACCACCCAACCUAUUGAAUGCUGAUUGGGAUAUAUAUAUAUAUAUAUAUAGGUCUUUGUUGACCGGGUAUUAGAAGAAGUGAUGAUAUCAAUGCGUUGGCUAAGUUUGGUAGAGGAAAUUUCCUUGUUAAAUGUGGUAUUUGAAAUGCCACUCCCACCUUUCUCUUUCACCGUCAAGUGGAGAAAGAAAGAAAAGAAAGGACUAACAAGAACUUAAUGGUAUUUGGCUAUUUGCAGGGAUUUAGCAUGGUCUUCCCAUGAGCUCUGCUCAUCCUCACUCCACCAAAUUAGUACGCAAACGCAUCAUCAAAACUUAGCUGAACUUAACGAUAUAUAAGCAUAUUGCCCUAAAACAUGAUCAACUUACAUGGUGUAUAGCUAACACAAAGGCAACUACAAUAAUAUUAUACUACAAAUUUUUUAACAAACUCUACUUCAAUUUUCUUCUCAUUUCAUAGUUGAAACUUGAACCUCUCUCCCUUGAGUGCUUCCAUAGUUAAGAACUAGCUACUUGUAUCUCAUACUUGGCCAUGAUUGGUGUGGUUUCCUUGUACCAAAUUGAAUUGGUUUCUUUACUUGUUGCAUAGCUUGAACUUGUACCGGUUUCAUUUGCCUGCUGUAACACGUUUAUACCUACUGAGUAUAGAUAAUGAAACGGUUUUGGUGGUGGCAUGACUUCUACUCCUCCCUCCAGCAUCUUUACCACAGCACUCAUCAGAGGCCUUGAGUCGGGUGAGUCCUGAACACACCAUAGAGCCACCAUAGACAUUCUCUCUGCUUUCUCCCUGUCCUUCUCUUCAAUUCCACAGGCCACAGUCAUUGCUGCUAAAUCCCCUUUCUCAUACUCUUCCCAAACAUGUUUGGGGAACCAAUCCAUGCUCUCAUUAGAACCAAUUUUGGCAUUCCUCCUCCUCCCAACUAUCUCAAACAACAGCAUCCCAAAGCUAUAAACAUCACAUUUAUGGGUUAUAGGAUGGUUUUUCAGUAAAAAUUCUGGGGCCGAAUAGCCUGGAGUCCCUCUAUAUCCUGAGACUGUCAGGUGGGUGUUGUCCCUGUUACAAAGCUUAGCAAGCCCGAAGUCUGCAACCUUAGGAAAGAAGUUAGCAUCAAGGAGAACGUUGCCAGGUUUUAUGUCAUAGUGAAUGAUUCUUUGUACACAUUCUUCAUGUAAGUAAGCUAUGCCCUUUGCUGUUCCAACUGCUAUAUGAUGCAGUUUCUCCCACUCGAUUUCUCGUGCCUCACUGAACAAGUACUUGUCCAGGGAUCCGUUUUCCAGGUAUUCGUAGACAAGUGCACUCAUGAACUGAUCAUGGCAGAACCCAUAGAGCCUGACUAGAUUCAUAUGGUAAGUUCUGCCUAUGGUUCCCACCUCUGCCAUGAACUGUUCUCCAGCUUGUCUGUCUGGACUCCUAUUCAGGACCUUCACUGCAAUCUUGACCCCAUUCAGGAACUGCCCUUUGUAAACCACUCCAAACCCUCCAGAACCUAGUGUUGUCGAGUAGUUAGCAGUGAAACUGCAUAGCUGUUGAGCAGUGAAUCUGACUGGCUUCUCUUUUGCUAUUUCUUGGAAGAACCUCUCCAUUGUUGGUGCAUCAACCUCCCUCGCCUGCAAUUCUUUCACAAUGGGCUUCCUUGCUUUCCUUGCACAAAGGAGAUAGAUAACAGCGAUUUUUCCUACUACCACCAAGCUCGAUACUAUGACUGCAAGUCAUGGGAAUUUGAAUCAAUAAGAUCCCAACUUCAAUCUGUUGUAUAUAUUUCUCACAGAAAGCACUUACCUGCUGCUGCAACCCCAGAGUUGUUGUCUGUCGGAGGAGAGAAGUCUGAAGACAUCUACAAAGGCAGCAAAUUGGACUAAGUUAGAUAGGACUAUACAAUUCGCUAUUCAGUUGAAGUAUUUAUGUCGAUUUUGGGUACAAAUCCCCUGGGCACCUUGGCUAAGUGAGUGGUUAAUUAACCGAAAUUUUCUUCAUUAGUUCAAAGUUUUGUGCAUUGCAGGCUUGUUAAUCAUUCAUGAACCUUCAACAUACUAAGAACAAUCAGGUUAGUGAACUCACCCUCUUUGGAAGAUCACUCCUUGCUUUUCACCACCAAUGCACCACAACUUCUCUUCGCUCUUUGCUUCCCCCCACUGCCUUGACCUGAAAAUUCACCAAAGUUUCUUCACUCCUGAAUCAUAAUUCUGCAAUGGGUGUGAAGGGAAGAAGUUUUUGGGAAAUUUCUGUGACAUCUCUGCCGACUAACUUGGUCAAAAUUCUAUGGUACCCAUGUGGUCGGUACCAAAGUUAGAUUUUUGACCGUUGAAUUUAAAUAUUUUAAUCAUGACCGUUGAUCUAGAUUGUACGAAAAGGGGAAAACUUGCGUGUAAUCAGUUUCUUGUUAAGUGUAUUGUUUAAAAUGAUGAUCUAAUGAUAAUUAAGUAAUGAUAUUUUAUAUUAUUAAAUAUAUAAUUUAUAAUAAAUAAAAAAUAAUAUAUUAUCUAAUUUCUUUUUUAUUUUUAUUUAAAAAUGUAUCUAAUAAUAAUUUUAGUUUUUUUAUCAAUAAUUUGAGUUUAUUUUGAAUUUAAAUUUUACUAUAUUAGAUAACUAAAAAAAAAAAAUCAAUUUCAAUAUAAAUCAAUUAAAAAUGGAUUUUAAUUUAAUGUAAUUCUCAUAAAUAAAUUAAAAUAUAUUUUUCAUUUAAAAUAUUUAUUUUUUAACAUGAAAGUACUAAGGAUAAAAAAAUCAAUUUAAAAAAGAUAAAUUUUACAAUAAAAUUAUUUAAUAACAAGAAUCUUUAUUUUAUAAAAUGGAUAAAUAUGAAAAAAAUGUUAUAAAAUUAUUAAAUGUGAAUGUUAAUAUUUUAUAAAUCAAUUAAAAUAGAUAUUUUAUAAUUUUAAUUUUCUUUUAUUAAGGAUUUAAUUUAAAAUAAAUAUUUUAAUUUAAAAAAAAUUAAAUUUAUUAUAAGGCUCAUUCAAUAAUAUAAAUAGUGUUUUAUAAAAUAAAAUAAAAAAGUUUAAAAUUGAAUAAAAAAUUAUAGAAAUUUAUAAUUCAUUGAUCAUAUUUUGUUAUAAGUUGUUGAUAAGUCUCUAUUGUUAAGUGUAUUUAGUAACUUUUAUAUAGAACUUCUACUUAGAUGAGUUAGUUGGGUUGAUCGUUAAUCUAAGUCCAACCUAACUCAACUUCAUUUUUUUUUUAAGUUUGGAUUAGUCAAAUUAAACCGAUGUUGAUUGAACUUUGACUAUAGACUAUUCAUGAGACUCAAUAUUUAGAUUGUCAUCGUAUUGGUGAAAAAAGAUUUCAUAAUGAAAUGAUUCUCAUUGCUUUCUCUCUAUCAUUGGUAAGUUGUACUCAUGUGUCAGUGUUGUUGGAUUGUGUGACGUAUUUGUCACCAUGGGUUGAUCAAACUUUGACCAUAGCCAAUUCAAAAGCGACACCAUAUAUUUUUAAUGAUGCUUAAUUUGAUAUAGAGUUGUUUGAGAUAUAUAAUGUGUUAUAUUAAAUGCAUCACCUUUGAGUUAUGGUGUCACAUCAUUGUAAAUGAUUAUGAAAGAUAUGGUUGUUUUUUGUUGAUUAGCCUGUUAAUAAAUAAGAUCAACUUGUGCAUAUUUUGUCCAUAAAUAUAAUAAUCAUAUCACAUUUAACUUAUAUUUUUGUAAUGCUUAUGGAUUAACCUGUAAUACAUUACAUCAUCUAGUAAUAUUUGCAUAUCAAAUGUUCACAAAACGAUAGUACAUCAAACCUACCAAAACUAAAAAAGAAAAGUGAAUGCACAUUAAAACAUGAUUUAGAAAUGUUAAGCAUCCCAACAUUCAUGUAUACCUGCAUUUCAUAUGCAUAAAACCGGUUAACCGUAAAAUGACACAAGAGUUGCAUCCAAAAACCCAAAAUUCUCAAUACCAAAUAAAGUAACGUUUAUAUCCUAUAAUGUAUGGCAUCAGAGUCACAUCUAAAAACCAAAAAUCUUGUUGCCUCUUUCUCUUUUCUUUUUAUUCUUCAUACUGUCCUCCCAAAAGUGUAUCCUGCAUUUCAUAGUUUAAUGAGUUUUAAAGCUCUUAUUGAAAAUAAAAAUUAAUUAAUGUUAUAAAAAAUAAAUAAAUAAAUCUAAGGACUGAUGUUUUCUUUUUUCUUUUUCCCAUUUUGAUAUCAAAAUAAUUCGUAAAGAAUAAGUAAUGUCAUACAAUACUAAUGGAAAAUUCAUAUGACAACUAAGGGACUCACCAUGCAUGAUCACGAUACAUCAACAUGAUUCAUAAUUAGUCAUAACAUAAAAAUAGUCAAUUGUCUUCUAAUUUCAUCAAAUUCUACUUAAGAAUAUGUUUUUUUUUAUCAUCAAACUGAAAUCAAAUGAGAAUAACAUUAAUAUCACAAUAAUUGGAAGAUGAAAUUAUGUACAAUUCAUUAAAUGAGUAAAACCUUUAAUACAAUAACUAUAGAAUCAACAAUUAUCUCUUUAAUGAAUCUCAUAACAAAGUAGUCACAUUUGAACUCAAAUAAAAAUAAUUCAAGAAAAUAAAAAAUAAAUCAAAACUACAAAAUCAAAAUAUAAAUCUAAAAUUUUAGAAAAUACUAAUCUUCCACUUAAAAUCUGCACUUUUUAAAUUUAUUUUUUAUAAUUCAUUAUGUUUUUAAAAAUCAUUUUUAACAUUUAAUUCUUUUUAUAUAUAUAUAUUUUUUAUUUCUUGGAAGGAUUUUCUUAAUUUCAAUAUUUUUUAAUGUUCAUUUUGUGAAAUAAUAAUGUUCAUUAAAUUUCAUCUCAAUUAUAUAAAAUAAAAUUUUAGUAACAAAAUAUAAAAAUGUUUUCAACUACUAAUAUGAUAGGACAUGAUAUUAUAACAAGCAUGAAAAUUGUGUAUAUAAGACCAAAAACCUAAUUCAUUAUUAAAAAAUGUUAAGAGAAAAAAUAGUAUGAGAAAGAAUUAAACAAUUUUUCAUAAAAAUUAUUGAUUUUUCGGUUAUAACUCCAAUUGAUAUUUUUUUUUCUAAUUAAAAUAAUUAAUAAAAAAUUUUGGAUAUGAAAAAUAUGUUCAAAUAAAAAUAAUAACAAUUUUAAAAUAUCAAAGGAAAAGAUAUUCAAUAUUUUAAAUUUUUUACUUUUAAUAUUCUUCAGAUCAAUAAAUUAUCAAACAUCUUUUUCAAAAAAAAAAAAAUUGAAGAAAAGGAAGACCUUUGUGAAAGGAAUUGGAAAUUUUUUUGUAAUAAAAUGAUUUUAUAGAAAUUUCAUAACCUUGAAAGGAAAAUUUCAUCAUCAAUUUCAAAUUACUCCAAAAUUUAGUCAAUGCAUAUAAAAACAAUAAGAAAAAAAAGACAAAAAUAAAACAUAUUUUGAGAAUCCUUUUGCGGGAGAUGACAAUAUUGCGAAUAAUUUUUGAGAAAAUUAUUUUCCUAAUAUGACCAACCAAUAUCUUCAUCACAACAUACUAUAAUAUUCUUAGAAAAUAAACAAAUUAAAGGAAUUUUCAUUAAAAAUCAAAAGAAAAUUAUAAAACAUCUUCUUAAAAAAAAAAAGUUUUAUAGAAGGAAUUAAAAAAAUUUAUGUAAUAAAAGGAUUUUAUAGAAAUUUUCUAACCUUGAAAGAGAAAUUCUAAAUUUUGGUCAACGCAUAUAAAAACAAUAAGAAAAUAAAGUAAAAACAAAAAACAAAAAACAAAAAACAUAUUUCAAGAAUAGAAAAAAUAUAAAUAGAACAAGAUGAGAUAUUAACCAUAAUACCAAGUAAAAUAAUAAUAAAAAAAAUCAAAAUAUAAGAUUUGAUCAUUUUUAUAAUUAUAAAAAUUUUCAUUCCUAUUUAAAAUUUAAAAAACAAUUCAUUUACAUGAAUAAAUAAAUAAUUAAACUAAUUUUUCAUUGUUAAUUCCAACAUUCCAAACCAAUGCCAAUAUGAUAUGGAAAUUAUUUCAUUUUUCCUUUUGUGGGAGAUGACAAUAUUAAGAAUAACUUUCUAAAAAAUUAUUUUUCAUGAGUGUGAGAAGAGGUAGAAGAAAAUUAUGGUUAGGGUUAUGGAAUGAGAUUUUUUUUUGGAUCGGGAGUAUGUGGAAACAAUGAGUUUUUUAUAUAUUAUUAUUAUUCUCAAAGUGGGCCCGUUAAAUUAUAGUAUUUUAAAAUUUUUAUUUUAUAUGGUGUCACUUUUCAAAAACUGACACUAUAAACUUAAAAUUAAUAUCAUCUAUCUUAAUUAAAAAAAUUUAUAUGAUGUGUCACCUUUAUGGAUUUUAAGUCAUAUGGUGUCUUUAUUUUAAAAGUGACACCAUAAAUUAUUUUUGUAGUAGUGAUUCUUUACUUAGGAUGUUACGGGUUAAGCUAUCGAAUCAACUCUUAGGGUUAAAGGAGUGUUAACGUUCUAAAGAAUUUUUUUAUGUGAUAAAUGACGAAUUUAGCCUCAUUAUAUAUUUAAACUUCUUAUGAAUUAGGAUUUUUUAGAGAGCGUGAUCAUAAUUAAGAAAUUUUUUUGAGAGUUUUACCAUUAUAAUCUUUCUUUUCUUUUGAUUAGUGGAUUCUUAAAUGUUAAUAUAUUUUAUGGACUUAAGAAUCACAUUGAUCAUCGAACCACAUUAAAAAAUUUAUGUUUUUAUUUAUUUUCUGUUAAUGUGUACAUGAUUUGAUUAAAAAGUGUCACCAUGUUCUUUAGCUUGUCUGUCUAACCUCUUGUUUAGGAACUGUUAGAAGAGUGAUCGACCUCCCCAUCUCAUAAAGAACUUCUUUUGAAUCAUUUUCCAGUUUUAUUAAUCACCUUAUUUUUGUUAAUAGUAAUAUUUGCUUUCUGCAUGAAAUUAUGUUCAUUAUUUUCACUGAAUAUGAAAUUAUUUAAGCUAUGUUAUAUAACCAUUACAUUGAAUUUUGCCCAGAUGUCCAUUGGGCAUCUGGACACCAGUGGAACCAUGGCCACUGCAUGUCAGAACAAGCAAAAGUACGUGGUCUAAUGAUAUUUAAUAGGUCGGCUACUAACCACCCAACUCAUUGAAUGCUGAUUGAGACUCUUAUAUGGAACCAUGCAUGGCCACUGCAUAUUCGGUCAAGCAAAAGAAAGUGGUCUAAUGAUAUUUAAUAGGUCGGCUACUAACCAGCCAACUUAUUGAAUGUUGACUGGGACUCUUAUAUAGGUCUAUGUUGACUGAAUAUUAGAAGAAGUGAUGAUAUAUAAGCAUGUUGCCCUAAAACAUGAUCGACUUAUAGGAUAUAUAGUUUGUUAUGCCAAUGAAAGCUUUGAUGCCAACAAUGUUAGUUCAAGAACACAAAGAUAAAACAAUCACACAUACGGUACACGAGGUUUUAACGUGGUUCAGCCAACUAUGCCUACGUCCACAGAUAAGAGAGAAUAAUUCCACUAUACAAUAGAGAAUAUUACAGAGGACAUAAUCAAAUACAACUAUUGGGUUCCCGAAACAUCACAUAUUUCCCCACUCUUUGUAUCUAUACCCUACUACGAGCCAUCUCGCUCCACAGAGUACCUCCCAUUCUUCCUCACAUCUCUAUCCACCUCGUAUAGUUUUUAUAAGCCCAUUUCCAUCUCAUAACUUUUCCCCCUCAUGACCUAGAAUAUUUAUAGAGAUAUUUCCAACAACCUUCCUUAUUCUAUAAGGAAGUCUAUAUUACAAUAAUAUAUCAACCUAGAAGUAUUCUAUAUAAUAUUCUUUAUAAAAAAAGAAUCUAUACUAAUUAGGAAUUUGGGACACGUCCUAACAAUCUCCACCUUGGACCAAAUUCCAUGAAGUUAAUCUCCAAUCUCUCCAUGACACAAAUCUUUUUGUAUCGUAUCACCACGAAAGAGCAAUCGACUCCACCUUCAGUGAAAAUUCCUUUUGUUUUCAUCUUGUGUGCUUUGUGAUCUUUUACUCUUCCAGAAAUCUCAACCCAAGCUCUGAUACCAGUUGAAGGGAAUUAAGUCGAAUUCUCAACCUGUUUUCCCACAGUUCCAGCAUUAUACUUGUUGGCCUGAUUUAGAUUUGCUUCUGUUCUGAUUAGAAUUUCUGGAUUUUGAUCUACCCCAGUUUGAAUUUCUGUCAUUACCUCUGCUUCUUGUCUCAAGGUUUAGGGCAGAACCAAAUCCUGAGGUUUCGCCUGCAUCUCUUCGGCGAAUCUCCUCAGCCAGAAUUAAAUCUCGUAUAUCAUUGUACUUGAGCUUUUCCUUUCCCAUAGAAUUGCUUACUGUCAUCCUCAUUGUCUCCCAACUAUUUGGCAAAGAAGCUAAGACGAUCAGAGCACGAAUCUCAUCAUCAAAAUCAAUUUCUACAUACGACAAUUGAUUUGUAAUUGUAUUAAAUUCAUUCAGAUGUUGUGCUAUUGAUGCAUUUUCUGUCAUCUUCAAAUUGAACAAUUUCUUCAUCAGAUGCACCUUAUUGUUUUCGGACGGCUUUUCAUACAUACCGGACAAAGCCUUCAUCAGAUCUGUUGUGGUCUUCUCUUUUACAACAUUGUGUGCAACAGACCUAGACAAAGUUAACCUAAUAACUCCUAGAACCUAUAUGUCAAGAAGCACCCAUUCCUUAACCUUCAUACUCUCAGGUUUUGUCCCCAAAAGAGGCAGAUGCAAUUUCUUCUCAUAGAGAUAAUCUUCAAUCUGCAUCCUCUAAUACGCAAAGUCUGUGCCAUCAAACUUUUCUAUUCUAGAUGUCUUUCCUGCUUCCUCUGCCAUUGCUCCCACUCAAACCUAAUCCUAGGCUCUGAUACCAGUUGAAGGGAAUUAAGCCGAAUUCCCAACCUGUGAGAAACAAAAAAAAAUAGAGAAAACACACGCCAAAGAAAAACAAUCAACGCACAAGAAAGUCUACGUCCAUGAAGUUGCAGGGAUAUCACUAUUAUCAGGGAAAAAUCCAGAGUACAACAAUUGCGGCUACAAUAUUUUCUCUCUAUAUAUAACACAACAACUACACCACACUAAAAAACCCUAAUUACAAAAGAUGGUUCCACAAUGGGCUAAGCGGGCCCAAAAGCCCAAGCCUUCGCUCCAUGGACUAAGACUCAGUAAAUCUCCCAUUAAAAAACCACGUAAUAUUAUUCGAGUCGGGUCGCCAAACCGGAUCAAACAAAACUAGGCUCCACAAAGCCUGACAUAAACACACAAAGGCAACUACAAUAAUAUUAUACAACAAAUUUUUAACAAAAUCUACUUCAAUUUGAACCUCUCUCCCUUGAGUGUUUCCAUGGUUAAGAACUAGCUACUUGUAUCUCAUACUUGGCCAUGAUUGGUGUGGUUUCCUUGUACCAAAUUGAAUUGGGUUCUUCACUUGUUGCAUAGCUUGAACUUGUACCGGUUUCAUUUGCCUGCUAGAACAUGUUCAUCCCUAUUGAGUACAGAUAAUGAAAUGGUUUUGGCGGGGGCAUGACUUCUACUCCUUCCUCCAACAUCUUUACCAUAGUACUCAUCGGAGGCCUCGAGUCGGGUGAGUCCUGGACACACUAUAGAGCCACCAUAGACAUUCUCUCUGUUUUCUCCCUGUUCUUCUCUUCAAUUCCACAGGCCACAGUCAUUGCUGCUAAAUUCCCUUUCUCAUACUCUUCCCAAACAUGUUUGAAGAACCAAUCCAUGCUAUCAUUAGAACCGACUUUGGCAUUCCUUCUUCUCCCAACUAUCUCAAACAACAACAUCCCAAAGCUAAAAACAUCACAUUUAUUGGUUAUGGGAAGGUUUUUCAGUAAAAAUUCUGGUGCUGAGUAGCCUGGAGUCCCUCUAUAUCCCGAGACUGUCAGGUGAGUGUUGUCCCUGUUACAAAGCUUAGCAAGCCCAAAGUCUGCAACCUUAGGAAAGAAGUUAGCAUCAAGGAGAACGUUACCGGGUUUUAUGUCAUAGUGAGUGAUUCUUUGUACACAUUCUUCAUAUAAGUAAGCUAUGCCCUUUGUUGUCCUAACUGUUAUAUGAUGCAGCUUCUCCCACUCGAUUUCUCUUGCCUCGCUGAAUAAGUACUUGUCUAGGGAUUCGUUUUCCAGGUAUUUGUAGACAAGUGCGCUCAUGAACUGAUCAUAGCAGAAACCAUAGAGCCUGACUAGAUUGAUAUGGUAAGUUCUGCCUAUGGUUCCCACCUCUGCCAUGAACUGUUCUUCAGUUUGUCUGUCCGAAUUCCUAUUCAGGACCUUCACUGCAAUCUUGACCCCAUUGGGGAACUGCCCCUUGUAAACCAUUCCAAACCCUCCAGAACCCAGUGUCGUGGUGUAGUUAGCAGUGAAG